UUGAGUUACCCAUCUAGUCACUGGAAACUGACUCGCCACAGGUCUCCAGCUCGCCGCCUAACUGACACUGAGUUCUUCUUCCGAUUUGUGAUGUCAUCUAUCCAGUGCUCUGACUUGGAUUCAGCAGCAGAGAAUGGAUAUUCAAAUGCGAGUGCCUGUUGACUCUGUGUUCCAGCUUAUGAAGUAUAUAACUGGAUUUUAUCCCUUGCAAGGCAUCCUAAAGAAUGGCCAGAGUAGUUUGAUUACAAGGAAAAAAAAAUGGGAGUUCUAUAGCUCUCCCUCAUAUAUUUGCAAGUGUACUUUCUCAGUGACUAUCCAGUAGCAACUCUGGGACAAAAGAGCUAAACAUUAAGUGGACUUCAGAGAGUCUUGUGGAAGUGUGACAAGAAGGAUAGAAUGACCUGGAGGGAACAACUCCACAAGAAGUUGAACAGAGUCAACUAUGAAGGCUUAUAGUGACAAGGCACAAACCAAAGAGCAGGCAUGGACUGAACCUAUGCCCCCAAAACAUAUGUAACUAAAAGACAGUUUGGUUUUCAUGUGGGUCACUUAUCAAGUGGAGCAGGAGCUGUCUCUUCUUUAGAUCAUUUGCCCCUAGCUUGGCUGCCUUGUAUGGCUUCAGUGGAAGAAGAUGUGCUUAGUCCUUAUGCCACUGGAUGUGCAAGAAAAUUUAUCUACAGACCCAAAGAAGCUAAACAACAAGGAGGACCCUAGGGAGUAUGUUUAAAUCUCACUCAGAAUGGCAAACAAGAUAGACACCAGGAAUGAUAGAAGAGAAAGAACAGAAUCGGAACUUACUAUAGAGAUUCCUCUGAAAGGCUCCACUGUACAGGAGAUUGAAGCAGAUGCUGAGACUCACAGCCAAACUUUGGAUCAGCACAGGAAGUCUUAUGGAAGAGGUAAAUGGGGAUAGAAGGACAUGAAGGAGACAGGAGCCCCACAAAGAGACCAACAAAGCUAAAAAUUCUGACCCCUGGUGGUCCUGCAGAUACUGAUGCACUAACGGAAGACCAUGCAUGAAGAGGACCUAGAUCCCCUACUCAGAUGCAGCCGGUUGACAGUUCAGUCUCCACGUGGGUACCCGAGUAAGGGGAGCAGGUGCUGCCUCUGUCAUGAACUUGGUUGCCUGCUCUUUGAUCACCUGCCACUUGCGAUGUGGCCUUGCCAGACCACUGAGGAAGAGUAUCCAGGCAGUCCUUAUGAGACUUGAUAAGCUAGUAGCAGAUAGCAGGGGAGAGGAACACCCUCUUUCAGUUGACUAGGGGAAGGGGAUGAGGGAAGAGGUGGGACUUCGAGGAGAUGAGGGAGGAGUCUACAA